UCUCUCUCAUCCACCCAUUAAUGAUCUGAGAAUCUGUUUUCAUCACUAACCUUUAAACCACAAACAAAAACAUGGUGUGAACCCUUUUUUUUUUGAUUUUGGUAGAGGAGACAAGAUCUCAUUUCCUACAACUUUAUCAACAUGAUGAUUGAGCUCAAAACAUAUUAGGCCUGUUCAGUUUGCAGCCGGAAUUGGAAUGAUCUAUUCAAUAGCCUGUUUGGUUGAGACAGGAAUAGGAAUCAGCUAAAAUGGAUCUCAUUUCCAAGGAAGAGGGAGAGAAUGACCAUUCUCUCAAAUGGGAGAAUGCCAUUCCACUAGGAAUGGGAACGGGAUUCUGAUUCUAAGCAAUCAAACAGUUUGCUAUUCUGAUUCCGGUUCCAGAUCCUUUUUCCUGCAAACCAAAUGGGCCCAUUGUUCUAUUUAAGCCACUUUAAAACUAACUGGUACCAUUUAUUGAAUAUGUUACAAUUGCAUUUUGCAUCCUAGGCAACUAUGUCAACUUUGUCAACUUUGUCCCUUGUAAUAUAAAUAAAAAAUGCUGUGAUGGGAAAUUUAGGUGAUUUCUCCAAUUUGUGCCUCCCUACUUGCACUUUAGUUAUGUUGGUUCUUUCCCCAUCCACAUGCCUAAUGUUCUUGCCAAUGAACUUUGAUUUGUAAAUAUUUUAUAUUCUAAAUAAACACAAAAAAUAGGAACCUUGGUAGAUAUUUUAUAUAAUCUUUUAUAAUUGCAAUAUAAUGUACAAAUUAGUGAAUCUGGAAAUGACUCCAUCGUGUCAUGAUGAGAAAGAUUAACCUAUCUUUAGGGAAUUCAUUAUUUACAUUACAUGUGAAUUCAUUCUAUGCUUUAUUUGUACGUCUCAUCUUACUGUCUCAUAGGUGUUUUCUUUUUCUGUUUUUUUUUCAAAAUUACCAAGGUAUCUAUGAUGAGAAUUUUGAAUAUACAAGAAAUUUGUGUCAAGAGCAAUUGUAUUUCAUGCAAUAAGAAGUAUUGCAGAAUAGGCGAUGAGAUGUUCAUAUGAAUAUUUUUGAAUGCAAACGAGGGUAGCAAACAUGAGGUGUUAAUGUAGCUUGAGCAGGAUGAUUUUUGGGUGACCUUAUUAACUAACAUCUUUGAGAAGUUCUUAAUGGAUGGAAAUGGAAAGGUUGCUGAGAGAUGCCCACAAAUAACCUCACCUUUCUAGAUUGAGGACAUUCAGAAACCACUUGCAGCAUAAAUUUCAAGCAACUACAGACAAAGUUUUCAGAAAUGCACUUUGUUCAUGUGUUUUUGAACCCCCCUUACAUUGAACAAGUGAUGGUGAUGGAGAAGUUUGAAGAGUCAAAACUGGAAUUUCAUAGCUUUUAUGUAUUUCUGAAUUUUUGAAAAGUAGUAGUAUUGUCAUUUUGAUCAUUGUAUCUGGGGUUCAGUAGUUUGAAUUUUCUAGCCAUAGUGCAGUUAUGCUUAAAUUUUCCGUGUCAUUGGUUAA